UACGGAGGGUGCGAGCGUUGUCCGGAAUCAUUGGGCGUAAAGGGCGCGUAGGUGGCGGGACAAGCGUGCGGUGAAAGCCUGGGGCUCAACCCCGGGUCGGCCGUGCGAACUGUUUUGCUUGAGCACUGUAGAGGCAGGCGGAAUUCCGGGUGUAGCGGUGGAAUGCGUAGGGAUCCGGAAGAACACCGGUGGCGAAGGCGGCCGGCUGGACCUGACCUGACGCUGAGGCACGAAGGCGUGGGGAGUGAACGGG
rnacentral:rRNA from 1 species